ACAGAGUAAUUCAAGUUGGAAAAGAACUCAGGAGAUGAUCUAAUCCAACCUCCUGCAGGGUCAGCCAUGAGAUCAGAUCACUUCACCCAGAGCUUUUUCCAGACUGGUCAUGAAGCCCUCCAAUGAUGGAGACUGCUUAACUGUCCUCAUAUUUGAAAAGCUUUUGCUUAUACUCACUCAGAACCUCUUGGUUUUGUCUAUGCAUAUUGUCCUCUGCCCUUCUGCAACACACCACUACCUCCAUCUUCUUGGUGACUCCCUUAUAUGUACAGGAAUGCUGCUCCCAAAGUCGUAUCUUCUCCAAGCCAAACAAGUCCUCCCUCUUCCUGAGCCACCUCUGAUCAUCAUGGUGGUUCAGUAGUGCUGACCUCACCCCAGAUAAUAAAGUGUCCCUAAAACUGGAUGCAGUAUUCUAGAUGUGGUCUGAUGAGUGCUGAGUCAAGGGGGAUAAUGACUCCCUUCUGAUCAGCAGGUCCUGUGCUCCUGUUUAUACCAUCCAGCAUGCUGCUGCUGCCUUUGCUGUCUGGGCAGACUGCUAGUUCACAUCUACUGAGAUCUUUCACUGCAGAGCUGCUCCCCAGGUAUUGACGGGAGAGCAUUUUGGGAUUGUUUUACCUAAGUUUUCAAUUUAGACAUGAAAACCUGUAAGAGGACCACUGUAAAAAACUCUAAAACCAAUUUGCUUCAUUUGGAAAGCUAUCAAAAGCACAACAGAGUGAGGACCUUUGUGAAAAUCAUUGCUUAUGAAUGUAUUAAUAAGGUGGUAUGACAAGGAUUUAUAAGAUUAAAUGUUUCUGCUCACAUUGCAGUGUUAAGGUACAAGCCUCCCACUGUGUCAUAUUAUGCCAGAGAUCCUUAAAUAAAUGAUCUUGGUCUGGACCAAUGUGAAAUUA